rnacentral:tRNA from 1 species
GCGGAUGUGGCGGAACUGGUAGACGCCCCGGAUUUAGGUUCCGGUGCCGCAAGGCGUGGGGGUUCGAGUCCCUUCAUCCGCACCA